CGGAUCUAUGAUGACGGUUGAUGCUGUCUGAGUAUCUUAUCAUGAUCAUAUGUCUGAGAGUCUGAGGUCCAC